UACGAAGGGGGCUAGCGUUGUUCGGAAUUACUGGGCGUAAAGGGCGCGUAGGCGGUGUGUCAAGUCAGGCGUGAAAGCCCCGGGCUCAACCUGGGAACCGCGCUUGAGACUGGCACGCUCGAGUUCGGGAGAGGAUGGUGGAAUUCCCAGUGUAGAGGUGAAAUUCGUAGAUAUUCGCAAGAACACCAGUGGCGAAGGCGGCUCACUGGCCCGAUACUGACGCUGAGGCACGAAAGCGUGGGGAGCAAACAGG
rnacentral:rRNA from 1 species